rnacentral:rRNA from 1 species
UACAUGGGGUGCAAGCGUUGUCCGGAUUUAUUGGGUUUAAAGGGUGCGUAGGCGGUCGUUUUAAGUCUGGGGUGAAAGCCCGUUGCUCAACAACGGAACUGCCCUGGAAACUGGAUGACUUGAGUACAGACGAGGGUGGCGGAAUGGAUGGUGUAGCGGUGAAAUGCAUAGAUACCAUCCAGAACCCCCGAUUGCGAAGCAGCUGCCUAG